ensembl:lncRNA
CUGGGUUUUACUUUACUUCAGUUUGCUAAGACACAUGCACGUUUGAUGUGGUAUGCAAAAGGUGGCGCAAUAGGAUGUUGUGCAGAGAAUUAGGCGUAUGCACGUUUGAUGUGGUAUGCGAUGUACAUAGGAGUGAAUCAAAGUGUGGACAACAUCAAAUGCGAGCAAUAGGUAGAAUAAAUGAAGAUUAGGUCAUCCAAUAUACAUAGUUAGUGUAGGACAAUCGGGUAAAUAAAUGAAGAUUAGGUCAUCCAAUAUACAUAGUUAGUGUAGGACAAUCAGGUAGUAUGAUGAAGGUAACUGUUAUUAUGAGAUACGGUUAACACAGAAGUGAUAUUGACAUGCACAUUUUAACAUUCUUAUUUCCCUUUUACAUCUUUUUGAUUAUAGGAACUUGGUUGCACUACGGUGUUGUUAGCUUUGGUUGUCAUUCAAUGCGCAUGGCUGAAGCAUGCGCAAGGAGGGAUGUAGUGUGCAAUUAAAUCAAAGUAGAUACUGUAAAACAAUUAAAAUUAGAAUUCAUGGAAAUAUGUUUUUGAACAACUAACUGCUGUACAUGAGUUUGUAUUUCUGCAAUAGAAACAAAAGUUCCAGAACCAGAUGCAGACACACCCGGAGCCUACAAACUACCACCGCCGAGCAAGGACUAACAGUCACAUGAGGAAAUCAAAUAACGCUCCGGAUGGGUUGGUGACCAGGGCGCUGGCAUAAUUACAAUCCCUCAGUCCGAUGUCAUAAAAGAGCUUGGAAACGGGGGAAAUGAAGCAGACAUUGGACACGUUUCCAAAGUGACUGGGAGAAUGUGGAAAAACUUGCCCUCGGAAGUACGCAAGGUUCUGUAUGCACUAGCUGCUACCAUCAUUUCUUAAUAAAUAAUGAAAUGGACACAAG